rnacentral:rRNA from 1 species
GACGAACGCUGGCGGCGUGCUUAACACAUGCAAGUCGAACGGAAAGGCCCCUUUGGGGGUACUCGAGUGGCGAACGGGUGAGUAAAACGUGAGUAACCUGCCCUUGACUUCGGGAUAACUUCAGGAAACUGGGGCUAAUACCGGAUAGGAAUCCUUGCUGCAUGGUGGGGGUUGGAAAGCUUCGGCGGUUUUGGAUGGACUGGCGGCUUAUCAGCUUGUUGGUGGGGUAGUGGCUUACCAAGGCGUCGAGGGGUAGCCGGCCUGAGAGGGCGACCGGCCACAUUGGGACCGAGAUGAGGCACAGACGCCGACUGGAGGCAGCAGUGGGGAAGAUUGCACAAGGGGCGGAAGCCUGAUGCAGCAACGCCGCGUGCGGGAUGACGGCCUUCGGGUUGUAAACCGCUUUCAGCAGGGGCGAAGCUUGUGGUGACGUUACCUGCAGAAGAAGCACCGGCUAACUACGUG